UUAGAGCAAUCGGAUGAAGUAUGUUUUUGUGAGCAAAUUUACCUAUCUCUCUGAAUUAUCCAAAAUUCAGAAACCGUACUGCCUUGACAUUAUUGGUUCACCAACAGAGCAGAACUGCCUCAGCCAUCAAUAAUAAUUCAACACAUUAGGAUGAGGCCUACGCAUGGGCCACAGAGGAUAUGUAAUGAUUUCAGGUACUAACUCCACAUUCUGUGGUAAGAGAUGAGGAUCCAGGAAAUGUAUGGACACCUAUACCCCGAAGAACGUCGUUAGGAAAAUAAUAGUGGGAUCCGGAAGCAAAAGGGAAACAUAGAAAAGGGCACAAGAAGGUGAAGAAAGUGAAAGAUAAACUUUCUUUUUUACAAUGUUUUUAUGGAUAAGUUCAGCCCAUAAAUGAAAAAUUACCUGUAUGGAUGACAUUAUCAGUUUUCUUUAAGUCAAGAUCUUCUUUUUCAUCUUCCUACAUGCAGCUUAAAUCUCAUUUAGGAAGUGAGGUAUAAAAUAACAAAAAAAUGCAUUUAAUUUGCUUAAAGAUGCUUGUAAGGUAAAUUUGCGCCAUACUUUGCUUUAUUCACAUCAUUAUAGAAAAUAUUUUGUUUCUCAGUUGUUUCUGGCCAUGGCUCAAGGAAUAAAAACUUCCACUCAUUCCUUCAGCCAGAAAAGUUAACAAGAGGAUAUCUUUUUAUUAUCUUUGUCCCCUCACUUCCUUCUUCAGAAAGCAGAGAAUUAGCAGAUUGGUGAGAUAGAGGAAAUAAAGGUUUGAACAGGUGUCUUAAGUCACUACCUGUUUUGGGAGCACUUUGUUCUCAGUUUAUUUGAAUUUGAUUUCUCAAUUUAAUGAGUUUACCAGAGCAGUGUCCACUACUCCCUUGUGGAGAUACUUAAUGGCACAUAGAUACAUUUAAUUAUGGAAAUAAAGUAGUUAAUCUGGCUAGUGAUUAUGCCACAUUGUUAGAUUUAUCUUUUUCAAUAGAAGAGCUAUUCAUAUUUAUGACGUCUGUAUUCAUUUUUUCAGAAAUGUGACUAUUUUUCAUAUAGCACCAAUACACAUAAAAGAUAUAGUUUUAUCUAAAUAUUUAAUCUGUUACAUAUUUUUCUCAGUUACUAGCUAGAGAUACCCUGGUUGUUUCCAAUUUGUUGUAAAUUGGUAAUUUGAUGCUAAACAAAUAGUGCUAAGGUAAGUCUUCUCAUUCAUAACUUGACAGGCUUUGCCAGUAUAUUUUAGAUUAAAUUUGGAGAUUACAGUUGAGUCAACUCAUGUGAACACUUUAAAUUUUGCUCCAUAUUAUCGCAUUCCUGUGCAAAAGCAACACCAAUUUACAAUGCCA